AGCAGCCGCGGUAAUUCCAGCUCCAAUAGCGUAUAUUAAAGUUGUUGCAGUUAAAAAGCUCGUAGUUGAAUUUCGGGAUCAAUACGUUGGUCGUGCUUUCGGGUACGUACUGGCGUCAUUGGUUUCUCCCUUCUGACGAACCUUGAUGUCAUUAAUUUGGUGUCUUGGGAAAUCAGGACUGUUACUUUGAAAAAAUUAGAGUGUUUAAAGCAGGCUCACGCUUGAAUACAUUAGCAUGGAAUAAUGAAAUAGGACGUUUGAUUCUAUUUUGUUGGUUUCUAGGAUUGACGUAAUGAUUAAUAGGGAUAGUUGGGGGGCAUUAGUAUUCAAUUGUCAGAGGUGAAAUUCUUGGAUUUAUUGAAGACUAACUACUGCGAAAGCAUUUGCCAAGGAUGUUUUCAUUAAUCAAGAACGAAAGUUAGGGGAUCGAAGACGAUCAGAUACCGUCGUAGUCUUAACCAUAAACUAUGCCGACUAGGGAUCGGAUGAUGUUAAUUUUUUUAAUGACUCAUUC
rnacentral:rRNA from 1 species